CAGGUUAACGUCAGUGUUUAAAUCAGAUAAAAUAAUAAUUGUCUUUGUACUUCUUGAAGGGGUAGACCAAAGAAUUUUUUUCGUUCAUUUUGUAUAUGCGGAAAAUGUAUCUGAGAAUAGGAGAGAAUUAUGGGGUGGUAUCAAGUUUCAUCAGGAUUCACCGAUGUUCAGAAAUAAGAAGUGGAUAAUCAUAGGAAAUUUUAAUGAGAUAUUCGAUGGGGAGGAACAUUCAAGUUAUAAAGAUUCAUGAAUCACCAUUGUAGGAAUGCAUGAGUUUGAUAGUGUUAUUCAACACUGUAGACUCAUGAAUUUGGGCUAUCAAAGACCUAAAUUUACUUGGUGUAAUAAGUGUGAUGAUGCGCUUAUCUGCAAGAAAUUAGAUCGUUUUCUGGUUAAUGAGAUUUGGUUGAAUCAAAGAACUCAAGUGUAUGGUAUAUUUGAGGCUGAAAGCUGUUCAGAUCAUCUUUGAGGCUCUAGGAGAUUAGUCUAGGUUUGUUUGGACCUGAGAUUUACUCAUGAAUAUAUAUAUAUAUAUAUAUAUAUAUAUAUAUAUAUAUAUAUAUAUAUUAACAUCAAAGAAACUUUAUGCUUCUUUCAAGCAUGCUACAUUAAGUAUACAACCACAAAGAAAUAAAUCAUAAAAUCAGAGUAUAGAAUACUAAAAAAAUACCAAGUUAUAGUAUCUCAUAUCUCUGCAACACAUAUGAUAGCUGUCUUAGGUCUUCACUACAACUAAGCAUUUUUUUUUACAUAAAUGGAAACAAUAGCAUGAGUUCAGAUCUGGCAAAUUGAUGCGGCCAUCAAUUCAGCAGCUUAACCAGAGGUCAACCCAAAUCCCUACUCAACUAGCCAAGGCGCCAACCAGGAUAUAUGUGCACUAAAAAUGUCAUAUCUUACAAAUCAGGAGGGUUCAAAUCACAAGGCUAAUUUUUAUGGAUUCUACACUCAAGAAGGAGUCCAAGACAAUUGGAAAUGGGCCAAAAUAUUUACGGAGCAAGAAGUUAUGAAUUUUACAAGUCAGAGGUUUCUCAGCCCGUCCAUCUGCGAGUAUCCGACUUUAGAAGGAGAUUUAAGCUCAAGUAAGGAGCGGCCUAAAGCAAAUCCCAUCAUAGGAGUCAAGAGGAGUUUAUCCGCUUUCCAGAAAGCCCAAGAUCAGGAGAAAUGGCCAUGGAAUUAUGAAGUUAUGAUCCAAUCUCCAAAACCGAUCAAACCAGUUCUACACUUGCUUCAAUUGGAAGCUAACCGGUUCAAUCAGCUUCAAACCAGAUAUUGGCGACCAGGAGAUCAUUUAAACCAAUCAGGAGAUAUUAUAGGAGUCCAGGAGGAGUUCUACAUGUUCAUACUAUGCACCAGCAACCAUUGGAUCAGGAGGAUCCUCAUUUACUCAAACCUGCCUUAUUUGGAGCAAACCGACAUUAAUGUCCAACAGCUCUUUUCUCAUCAGACCAGGCAAGAGAUCAGAACCUAUAAAGCACCCAGGAAGAUCCCAAGGAAGCUCUCUUAUCCAUUAAAACUGUCCAGGUUCAAGAAAGAUCAGAUUCUUUACUCGGAGCCAAAAUCCCACAAAAGGCUCCAACGGCUAGUUUCCGAUUUCUUGCUUAGUUUUGAUUUGUUUCCUUUCUUUUCUUUUAUGAACGUUUAGAGUCUUGUAUCUGAGAAUUAUAUAAGCUCAUUGUCGUCCAUUGUAAAGAUCAACCCUCAAUCACCAAGUUAAUAAAAAGUUUAUUCAGUUUUUAUCAAAGAUUGUUCUUUGUAUAAAAUAUCGGUCUUUAGGAUUCAAAGAGAGAUUUUUUGUUGUUCUAUUGAUUUCGUGAGACUAGUGUGUUUGUGCAAAUCAAACAAGCUCAGUACACAGAUUGAGAGAGUCAAUCACAUCGUUUCCAUCAUCCAUCAGAUUGAGAGAUUCAAUCAAAACCUCAUCCGCAAAUCCACUUCAAUCCAUCAUCUGAUCCAGCUUGAGAGAGACAUCAGUCCAGCAAGUCUGAUCCCACCUUCAAUCCAUCUCCAUCCCCUGUUCUUGUUGAGAGAGAAACCAGUCCAGCAACUAGAAUCCAUCAGCCAUCUCUAUCCUUCUCUUAUUUUGCUUCAUUUUGCAUCAUAUAGUUCUAGAAUUUCCAUUCAAUAUAAAACCAUAAAAAGUCAUAUUUGCUUAUGUUCUUCAUUUAUCAUUUAGUUUUCUUUCAGUUCAUCAUUUUAAUCCAUUAAAACUCAUAAAAAGAUUACUUUUUUUGUUUCAGGUACAAAACCGGCCAACUCUCUCUCCAUUGCAGCCGCCUAGCCGCCCCAUUGCCAUCUGCUUGUCCUGUCCAGUCCGAGUCCUUGAACCUCAGUCUAUCCAUUUGAGUAGUCUGAAUCCCAGCCUGUAACACAAAUGACGGUCCAAAACCUCCCAUCAUCCUUGGUGCUCAGCAUCACCUCAUUUUAGUAUAGAGUUUACACCCUCUGCCCAUGUGUUCCACCGAAAUAGUUUUCGGUUUGUGUGAUGGUCUAGCUUAGAUAUUUCGUGUGCCUCACUAUAAGAGCAUCUACGACCCCACUACAAAUUACUGCAAAAUGAAGUGGAAAAUGCAAUCAUGAACAAAUAAAAAAUGAUUACUUUAUAAAUAGAGUAAUAUUUUUUUUGUUUAUUUAUGACUGCAAAAAAUGGAGUAAUGUCUCAUUAUAACACUGUUUAUUCAAUCAUUAGCUAUAAACCCAACAAUUAUUCAAAAAAUGUUCACGUAAAAUAGUUUCCAACUCUCAUUGAUCAAACCUAAAUCAAGUUGAGUAGCCCGAAACUGCCCAAAGACCACAAUUAACAUACACUUCUUUUUUUUGAUAAAACACAAUUAACAUACACUUCCUCCAUAAAAUAUAACUACACCGGCCACACCAAAAGAUAUAAUAAAUUUUUAAUAGCACUCAAUAUAUCUUUAAGCUUCACCACCCAAUAACAACAACGCGAAGAAAAAAAAAAUUAAUAGGCUACGUCACAUAUUUAAGAUUCUUAAAUUUGGCUAUUUCGAAAACUGUAGCAACAAUUUAGGAGUCUUCCUAUAUGUUAACCAAGCCAGCACCAUAGUAGGUGAACCAAACGUUUGCAGCCUAUAAUACAAAUUUUUAGGUAGUCAAAAUUUUAAAUCAUUGUUAGACAAUUAUGGUCUGAACUGGUCAACACAAUAUAAAUAAAAAGAACAAAAGGAUAUUUUAUUAUCACGGUGAGUGUAACCACGAUUAAUAAAAAAAUACAAUAAAGAAAAAAUAAGUAUAUGAAGGUAAAAUAUAACUUUACCACGAGUGAUAAUAAUACAGAAAAGUUAAAAAAAUUUAAAAAGGAGGAGCCCAAUCAUAUAUACUCAAGUUUCAGCUACAAAACACGAGUUGGAGGUGAAGAACAAAUCAACAAUAACCAGAAAACUAAUGCAAGCAUCUAUAAUAGAACAUAUAUAAGUUCGCAAAAAAGAAAAGAAAUAAGAACAUAUAUAACACAAUUCUCCAAUGAGAUAGUCUCACACACAACAAAAACCUCAUCCAGUGCAGAUGGCAACUUCAUGAAACACACAUCUAACUACCAAUUGUUAGUCCUACGUAAGAAUUGAUAAAAAUAAAUUUCACCAUCUAUAAUAGAACAUUUAUAACACAAUCUCCAACGAGACUAGACACACAAUAAACACACAAAAUAGAUACUACAUACAACAAGAAAUACAACACUCAAAAAAUAAAAAAAAUACAACACUGCUUGUAAUAGUAUUGUAGAUUAUGCUCAUCAAUUUCACAUUUUCUGUUAGAUAAUUACAGAUUGUUUCUUUUGCUAUAGAUUCCAAUUUUCCAAACCGUAGAUAUGUCCAAAAAUUCAAGAAAACUGUAAAAGAUAUAUUAGAAAUACCAAAAAUCUAUCCAAAUAUCAAAAAAUAUAGAAUCACAAGCAAAGCUAAUAAGAAGUCUUUUCUCUUGUUCAAUAUCUCCAAGCUCUCAAAGCACAAAUCACAAAUCAAUAAUAUAUUAUGCAACACAAUAUGCAUCUCCAUAUAUAUAUAUAACUAGAUAAUUCCUAGUUUCAAUAGUAUUAUCAUAAAUCAUAUUUCUUAAUCCUAAGGAUAACCACAACUCAUUAAGGAAAAAGAAA